UACGAAGGGGGCUAGCGUUGCUCGGAAUCACUGGGCGUAAAGGGUGCGUAGGCGGGUCUUUUAAGUCAGGGGUGAAAUCCUGGAGCUCAACUCCAGAACUGCCUUUGAUACUGGAAGAUCUUGAGUUCGGGAGAGGUGAGUGGAACUGGCGAGUGUAGAGGUGAAAUUCGUAGAUAUUCGCAAGAACACCAGUGGCGAAGGCGGCUAUCUGGACGGUUUCUGACACUAAGACUCGAAAGCGUGGGGAGCAAACAGG
rnacentral:rRNA from 1 species